rnacentral:rRNA from 1 species
UACGAAGGGGACUAGCGUUGUUCGGAAUCACUGGGCGUAAAGCGCACGUAGGCGGAUUUGUAAGUCAGGGGUGAAAUCCCGGGGCUCAACCUCGGAACUGCCUUUGAUACUGCGAGUCUUGAGUCCGAUAGAGGUGGGUGGAAUUCCUAGUGUAGAGGUGAAAUUCGUAGAUAUUAGGAAGAACACCAGUGGCGAAGGCGGCCCACUGGAUCGGUACUGACGCUGAGGUGCGAAAGCGUGGGGAGCGAACAGG